rnacentral:rRNA from 1 species
CUUGGUCAUUUAGAGGAAGUAAAAGUCGUAACAAGGUCUCCGUUGGUGAACCAGCGGAGGGAUCAUUACCGAGUUUACCAACUCCCAAACCCCUGUGAACAUACCCGAACGUUGCCUCGGCGGGACCGCCCCGGCGCCCACAGCGCGGCCCGGAACCAGGCGCCCGCCGGAGGACCCAAACUCUUGCCUCGCCGAACGGCGGAAUUUGCUCUCUGAGUCUCACAAACAUGAAAAUGAAUCAAAACUUUCAACAACGGAUCUCUUGGCUCUGGCAUCGAUGAAGAACGCAGCGAAAUGCGAUAAGUAAUGUGAAUUGCAGAAUUCAGUGAAUCAUCGAAUCUUUGAACGCACAUUGCGCCCGCCAGCAUUCUGGCGGGCAUGCCUGUCCGAGCGUCAUUUCAACCCUCAGGUCCCCCCAGGGGACCUGGUGUUGGGGGACGGCCGCCCGCGCCGCCCCCGAAAUGCAGUGGCGACCCCGCCGCAGCCUCCCCUGCGCAGUAGCACAACCUCGCACCGGAGCGCGGAGACGGUCACGCCGUAAAACGCCCAACUUUCAAGAGUUGACCUCGGAUCAGGUAGGAAUACCCGCUGAACUUAAGCAUAUCAAUAAGCGGAGGA